UGGCAGCAACGCAGAUGCCGGAGGGGGCUGCGGAAGAGGCGGCAGCGGCAGCUCCAGGGAGGCCCAGCAACUGAGGAAGGGCAGAGAAGGCCAGAAUGACCAGAGAACCUGCUGUAGAGAAAGGCUUUUGGGGUUUGAGCAUCUGCACCUUCAGAAGCUGCGCUGAAGCCUUCAUAGGCAGCCUCUGCCUUGUGAGGGAAGGCACCUCCACCAGCUCUAGUGUAAGGAUCAAGCCUGGUGUGUGGAACUUUUCUACAGCCCAUAAACGGAGAAAGCUUUUGCCUCCUCAGUUGUAGAGUUCUAUCAGUCACCGCUCUUUCAAGUCAUUGGUGAAGUGGAUAGAAAAUGCCUGCUUUCAGGGAACCAAACGGAUGUUGAAAAGGGGCUGGAAAUUAAACCCAGAACUUGAGUCUUGGAUGCUGUAGGCAGUGCC